GAUGAAGAACGUAGCGAAAUGCGAUACUUGGUGUGAAUUGCAGAAUCCCGUGAACCAUCGAGUCUUUGAACGCAAGUUGCGCCCGAAGCCAUUAGGCCGAGGGCACGCCUGCCUGGGCGUCACACGUCGUUGCCCCCCCAUCUACUCCUUCGGGAUUGCGGGGGGCGGAUGAUGGCCUCCCGUGCGCCUCGUCGCGCGGUUGGCAUAAAUGCCAAGUCCUCGGCGACGCACGCCACGACAAUCGGUGGUUGCGAAACCUCGGUUGCCCGUCGUGUGCGUUCGUCGCGCAUCGAGGGCUCGAAAAAAUGCUCGGCUCCGGCUCGGCUUUCAACGCGACCCCAGGUCAGGCGGGGUUACCCGCUGAAUUUAAGCAUAUCAAUAAGCGGAGGA
rnacentral:misc_RNA from 1 species